GGAGAAAUAAACUUUCUUUUUUGUGUGAAUUGCAUUGCUAAGCUGUGGCCUGUCAGCCAUGAAGAAUCCGAGUUGGAUGAGGAGGAACUGGUUGUGGGUUGCCGGCGGCGCCUUUUUCGGCAUCCACUUUGCCACCUGGAUCCUGCAGAAGGCGAUGAAGAGCUCGGUGAAGAACGAACUGCAGCUGAAGCAGCGGAGUGCAGAAGACUAAGAAGACACGGAGGGCUCUUUCCAAUAUCCUGACUUCUGUCCUCGACCUUAUGGCUUACGACCUUGUGCUUCAUGUGACGCACCUCCUUCAUGGAGAAAACAAUCAAGUUUCUUUUCUGUCAACCUAGCCGCAACUGCUAUUGGGGGACUAUGAAAAUGACCUUUCGAUCACAAUUUUGCGAGAUAUUGACUUAAACAUCUGUCAUCAAUGACUUCUUGUGAUGUUGUAACGAGGCUGCAAGCACGUGGGGAGGAUGGGAGUUGGGAUAUUGGACAUUACUGUUGCAAGUCAAUAUAGUUCCUUUCAUCCUUUCCUGUUGCCUCUGACCUCGCGACAAGAUCAAUAACUUGGUUUAUUCAAUGGUUUGCAUAAGGCAUAAUUCACAGGUCAUUCCCUCAUUCUAAGUUGGUAUGUUGAAUGGGAGAAUGUCCCCAAAAUGUUGAUCUGUGCCAGUAAACAUCAGAGAAACAUUAUUACUGAGGCAAGGAUAAAUCACGGGAACAGGAAAGGAGGGUAGGGCAAAGAUUGACUUGCACACAAAGAUUACAAAUAAGCAGAGGACUGCAGAAGAACUUGAAGUAAAAGGAAAAUAGAAUUUCUCAUAAUGAGUCCUGUGCAGUCAGACACGGGUUCUCAAUACAAAGACAUGCAGACAUACAGUAUAUAUUAUUGCUCCAUGAACACACACACUCACCUGCAGAGAGACAUGGUGGGAACUCACGUUUUCAUUUAUACAUGGGGCGUAAUGUUGUCACCAUGCGGUAAUGUCAAAGUACUUUAUUUUUCCAGGUUUUAAUUUAUCUUCUAUGGUGGCACCAUUGUAAUAUAUCAACUUUAAAAUAUACACUCAAACAGUCAGUUUUGUUGUAAGUAUGCCUUCAUAACUUAAUAAAAAAUAUUUGUAAUCCA